rnacentral:rRNA from 1 species
AUUGAACGCUGGCGGCAUGCCUUACACAUGCAAGUCGAGCGGCAGCGCGGGGGCAAACCUGGCGGCGAGCGGCGAACGGGUGAGUAAUACAUCGGAGCGUGUCCUGUCGUGGGGGAUAACCAGUCGAAAGAUUGGCUAAUACCGCAUGACCUCGUAAGAGAAAAGCGGGGGAUCGCAAGACCUCGCGCGAUUGGAGCGGCCGAUGUCGGAUUAGCUAGUUGGCGGGGUAAAAGCCCACCAAGGCGACGAUCCGUAGCUGGUAUGAGAGAACGACCAGCCACACUGGGACUGAGACACGGCCCAGACUCCUACGGGAGGCAGCAGUGGGGAAUUUUGGACAAUGGGGGCAACCCUGAUCCAGCCAUGCCGCGUGUGUGAAGAAGGCCUUCGGGUUGUAAAGCACUUUCGGCCGGAACGAAAUCGCGCGGGUGAACAUCCCGCGUGGAUGACGGUACCGGAAGAAGAAGCACCGGCUAACUACGUGCCAGCCGCCGCCGUAA